GAGUCGGUGUUGGGAGCACGGAGCUGAUCUGCUCCCUCUGCUCUCCAGCCCUCCGCGCCACAGCCAAGGGGCUCUCAAAGGUGCUCCAGCUGAGUGGAUCCUUCUGCCACCUAAAUCAGCUCUGAGAGGAGAAACCACAGCAAAAUAACAGCUCUGGAUCUGAAUACUCUUGAUUUUUCUGCCUCUCCAUGCAGCUGUGUAGAGUUUUUCUUGCUUUUCUCCUCUUUCCACCUUCCUUUUUCGUCCAGGAUGGUGAAACACGAGCAGCAACAUUAGAACUGUCGUCUUUUCAACAGCCCAAGCCCACCUGGAGGUGACCCCAGGACCCGAAAUCCCAGGAAUCAUGGCUAUUUUUGGUGAGAGACUCAGAGGUGAGAAAUCCUCAACCUGACAGCAGCCAGGAGCUCCAGGGCAGCAGAAAACAGAGCGGUGAUGGGUCCCAGUGUCCUUCAGCCCCUUCCACUCUUUUGGGGUGGGUGUCCACCCCAAAAUUAAUUUUCCAUCACCACCAGGAGGGAUUUAAUGGUUGGACAUCGCUGCCGCCUGCUCAAGGGUCUCCACCACCUCAUUAUACCAAAUGUUCUCAUCAAGAAUCUUCUCAAUAAAGACAACUUGCCCACA